rnacentral:rRNA from 1 species
AACGAACGCUGGCGGCGUGCCUAACACAUGCAAGUCGAGCGCGAAAAGGGCAACCUGAGUAGAGCGGCGCACGGGUGCGUAACACGUGGGUAAUCUGCCUUAGAGUCGAGGAUAACCUUCCGAAAGGUUGGCUAAUACUCGGUAAGCUUACGGUGUCUUCGGACGCUGUGGGAAAAGUAGGCCUCUGUUUACAAGCUUACGCUCUGAGAUGAGCCCGCGGCCCAUCAGCUAGUUGGCGGUGUAACGGACCACCAAGGCAACGACGGGUAGCUGGUCGGAGAGGACGAUCAGCCCCACUGGAACUGAGACACGGUCCAGACUCCUACGGGAGGCAGCAGUGGGGAAUUUUCCACAAUGGGCGAAAGCCUGAUGGAGCAACGCCGCGUGUGUGAUGAAGGUUUUCGGAUCGUAAAGCACUUUCGACUGGGACGAAAAACCUUUGGCUAACAUCCAGGGGCCUGACGGUACCAGGAGAAGAAGCACCGGCUAACUCUGUGCCAACAGCAGCCGCGGAAC